rnacentral:rRNA from 1 species
UACGUAGGUUGCAAGCGUUAUCCGGAAUUAUUGGGCGUAAAGAGCGCGCAGGUGGUUGAUUAAGUCUGAUGUGAAAGCCCACGGCUUAACCGUGGAGGGUCAUUGGAAACUGGUCGACUUGAGUGCAGAAGAGGGAAGUGGAAUUCCAUGUGUAGCGGUGAAAUGCGUAGAUAUUGGGAAGAACACCGGUGGCGAAGGCGACUUGCUGGGCAGCAACUGACGCUGAGGCGCGAAAGCCAGGGGAGCAAACGGGAUUAGAUACCCCGGUA